rnacentral:rRNA from 1 species
GCGANCUUUNCAUGCAAGUCGAACGGCAGCACGGGUGCUUGCACCUGGUGGCGAGUGGCGAACGGGUGAGUAACACAUCGGAACGUACCUGGUUGUGGGGGAUAGCCCGGCGAAAGCCGGAUUAAUACCGCAUACGAUCUCUGGAUGAAAGCGGGGGACCCUCGGGCCUCGCGCAGCCGGAGCGGCCGAUGGCAGAUUAGGUAGUUGGUGGGGUAAAGGCCUACCAAGCCUGCGAUCUGUAGCUGGUCUGAGAGGAUGAUCAGCCACACCGGGACUGAGACACGGCCCGGACUCCUACGGGAGGCAGCAGUGGGGAAUUUUGGACAAUGGGCGCAAGCCUGAUCCAGCCAUUCCGCGUGCAGGAUGAAGGCCUUCGGGUUGUAAACUGCUUUUGUGCAGAACGAAAAGGCUCUGGUCAAUACCCGGGGCUCAUGACGGUACUGCAAGAAUAAGCACCGGCUAACUACGUGCCAGCAGCCGCGGUAAUACGUAGGGUGCGAGCGUUAAUCGGAAUUACUGGGCGUAAAGCGUGCGCAGGCGGCUUUGCAAGACAGAGGUGAAAUCCCCGGGCUCAACCUGGGAAUUGCCUUUGUGACUGCACGGCUGGAGUGCGGCAGAGGGGGAUGGAAUUCCGCGUGUAGCAGUGAAAUGCGUAGAUAUGCGGAGGAACACCGAUGGCGAAGGCAGUCCCCUGGGCCUGCACUGACGCUCAUGCACGAAAGCGUGGGGAGCAAACAGGAUUAGAUACCCUGGUAGUCCACGCCCUAAACGAUGUCAACUGGUUGUUGGGCCUUAGCUGGCUCAGUAACGAAGCCAACGCGUGAAGUUGACCGCCUGGGGAGUACGGCCGCCANGGUUGAAACUCAAAGGAAUUGACNGGGAACCCCCNCAAGCGGUGGNAUGAUGUGGUUUUAAUUCGAUGCANCCCGAAAAACCUUACCCACCUUUNNANAUNUUACCGGAANUUGCCCAAAAAUGGCAGCCGNUGCCCCCAAAAGGGAANCCCGUAAACCCAAGGUUCCUUCCAUGGGC